UACAGGGGGUGCAAACGUUGCUCGGAAUCAUUGGGCGUAAAGCGCACGUAGGCGGUUCGUUAUGUCGGAUGUGAAAGCCCUUGGCUUAACCGAGGAAGUGCAUCCGAAACUGGCGAGCUAGAGUACGAAAGAGGAUCGCGGAAUUCCCGGUGUAGAGGUGAAAUUCGUAGAUAUCGGGAGGAACACCAGUGGCGAAGGCGGCGAUCUGGGAAGAUACUGACGCUGAGGUGCGAAAGCGUGGGGAGCAAAGCAGG
rnacentral:rRNA from 1 species